rnacentral:rRNA from 1 species
UACGUAGGGGGCAAGCGUUAUCCGGAAUUAUUGGGCGUAAAGAGCUCGUAGGCGGUUUGUCGCGUCUGCCGUGAAAGUCCGGGGCUCAACUCCGGAUCUGCGGUGGGUACGGGCAGACUAGAGUGAUGUAGGGGAGACUGGAAUUCCUGGUGUAGCGGUGAAAUGCGCAGAUAUCAGGGGGAACACCGAUGGCGAAGGCAGGUCUCUGGGCAUUAACUGACGCUGAGGAGCGAAAGCAUGGGGAGCGAACAGG